rnacentral:lncRNA from 1 species
ACAUCAAAACGCAACACAGCAGCACCACAACGUCUUCCUCGCUGCAACAACAGCGAAAAAGCACCUGCCAGCAGCUGUGAGUCCGUCCUUGUGGCCUCAGGAUGGAGCCACGUCGCGCCCAAGGACGAGUAAGUCAAUCCCAGCCAUCAAUCUCACCAUUUCCACUUUCGGAAUGGGGUUGAAGACCUCACAAAAGUAUGUUUGCCUCUAAUGGUGAAAGUUUUUUGAAAGUUUGAAUUGAGAUGGGCCUUAUGCCUAUCCGAUUUUUGGAUCCCUUCCCCCCCAUUUGGAACCCUAAUUUCUCCCCUAUAAAUACUUCAUCUUCUCCACUGUGAGAAGGGGGCCAAAAAUUUGGAAUUAGGGAACAUAUUAGAGAAAGAGGUUGGAAAAAAUAGAGAAGUCAGCUUGAAUUAGGAAACAAUAUUGUGAGCUACUAGCUAUACAUAGUUGUAUACAAUUAUUUAGGGAAUAGGUUUUGAGGUUAUAGAGAUUGGGAAUCAAAUUUCUGCUCCCGUUUGACUCUGCUCUGUUCACCGAGGUUCUCGGAGUCGUAUUUCAGCGGUGGUGAAGUCGUCUCCUCUUCGUCUCGUUCUAGUUCGCUGCCCCGAAAAAAGUAUACUUCCUCACUUUCUUUAUUAGUUAUCUUGCGUGUUUUAUCUUUAGCCUACUGUUGGAGUAGUUAAUUUGGCUUAAUGUUUCUUUGUUUUGUUUGAAAUUUCAGUUUUCCAAUCUUAGUAUAGUUGAGAUUUUUUCUAAUGAUAAUACACGAUUUUCCUUUGCCCGCUUUGACCUGAAUGUGAUUUGGAUAUAUAUAUAUGUGAAGUGCUGAGAUGUUGUUGGGUUUAGCUUUUUCAUCAAUGUGAUG